UGAUGAUUGUGUUCUGCACGACAAAAGUGGUUUCUUUGGCCUGCAGCUGCAUGUUUUAGAAAAGCACUAUGACAAAGAACUGAUCAGUUUCUUCUCCAAAUUAGGUGUCAAAAGCAAUCCUUCUCUUGAUGAUUUUCUCAAGCUUUGGAAGUCAUGGGAAGACGCGGACCGCAGUUUGUCACUAUCAGAGUGUCAAACCUUCUGGGAGUUCAUUGUGAAGCGUGGGAAGACGCGGAUCGCAGUUUGUCACAAUCAGAGUGUCAAACCUUCUGGGAGUUCAUUGUGAAGCACUGGAGCUUAAGAACCGAGAAAUUUCUAUCUGAGAACUUGUCAAAACUUCCUGUGGGUUCAGGCUCGAACGAAAUUUUGCUGCUUGAUAAACGUGAUGUUUUUAUUGCUGAUGAUCUCUAUCUGAAGGAUUUAUUUGAACAGUCUUCUUCUCAUCCCUUGUUCGUUUGGUAUCCACAACCAAGCUUGCCAUCUUUGCCUCGGCAGAAGCUGCUUGAAAUUUAUGGCAAAAUUGGUGUUCGUAAUUUGUCUGAAUCUGUUCUGAAAAAUGGCUUGUCUUCUGUUAAUUGUGUUGGAGUUGAGCAGGUGCAGCCAAAGGAAAUCUUCAUUGGAAAGGGUUUGAUUAAGUUAAUCCUUGGCUUCCUUGCUGAUCCUUCACUUCAAAUGGAAGCGCGUACGAGAUAUGAAGCUCUCAAAAGCCUCGUGGAUGUUAGUAUUUGUGCAACACUGGAACCAAUAACCAUGGAUUACUGUCUGUCACUUUCUUCUGGUGAUGUCCUGAACGUGAAAGUGAGCCGAAUGAUGUGCUGGGAUAGAGAAAAUGCAAAGAUUUUUAUACAGAAGCUGGACAAAUCAGGUGGUUACAGAUGUAAGCUUAAGUUUACUACAUAUUUCUCAGAAAUAGUUGCCGAGGGAAUUCUAA
rnacentral:lncRNA from 1 species